GAAAGCAUGGUUUGCCUUAUUCAAAUACGUACUCGAGGGUUUUGCUGCCCUUAAGCUACGGAAUCCUCACUUAUACUUCGAUUAUUGCGAAGCCAGCAAGGAUUCAAAAGUCAAUACCAAGGUAAGUCCCUUUUUAUUUUUUCUUUUACCGUAAACAAAGACCAAGAAGAAAAAAGAAAUAAAAUCGAAAAAAAAUGCUAGAUCUAAGAAUCACCUUUCUUAAAUUGAUUUCUAAAUGCCUUUUCUCUGUAUUCGAUAUUUCAUAUGCCUAUUUCAGUGUGCAUAAUCCAUCAAAGUACAAACCAUGGCUUUUUAUAGCCGAAUUUACAGAAUAAAUAAAAAAUGACAAUUCUAUUUUCCUACUGUCAUUUGCUUUAUAUUUUGUUAGCAUUUCUGUUCUCGUAGGUUCUAUAUUGACGUGGAGGCGUACAGAGAAACAAGCUACUCGUGGGGAGGCCGUUCGUGAGAGGCUCGAUUCCAUGGCUAGCUGCUGCACUGCGUAUUCCAAAGACCUCAGGGUUUCUGGUGUUUUCUCAUUAUUGGGCUCAGUUGGGCCACAUGUAAAUUGGGCUAGGAUUUUAGGUUUUGGACUAGUGUUUUAUUUCUGUUUCGAGCUAUGUUUUGUUAUUGGACUUUGGGUUAGUGUUUUGGGCCUUUAUUUUUGUAAAAGGACUUGGACUUUUAAUUUAUUUGGCUCAUGGCUUUAUUUUUUUUUCUAUUUUUGGUUCUGGUAUAGUUUUUUUAUGGGCCCGGGCGAAAUGGGCCUAUUACAGCUGCCCCUCUUUGCUUAUUGUCGUGUAACGAGAAUAGAGCAAAGACUUCAAAAGGACCAUUUUGCCCAGUCUUGCUGAAUCCUGACUUCUUGGCUCUCCCUUUUCUGCAAACAACCCCAUUCGAUCCUACUGUCUUCUAGGGUAUACUCCAGGAGAAUUCAUCGUCUUUGAUCUGCUGCACUGCUACCUUAGAGAGAUAAGAUCUACAAUCAUCAAUCUGCUUCCUUGCUACCUCAGGAAGAUAAGACUCAAUCUUCAACCUGCUCUCUUGCUACCUCAGAGAGAUAAGGCUUGAAGGCUUAAAUCUGCUCCAUUGUCGAUACAUGGAGAUAAGAUUCGCCUCUUCCGAUCUGCUCCACUAGUGCUUAGGGAGAUAAGAUCUUCAAUCUUCAGUCUGCUUCCUUGCUACCUCAGGAAGAUAAGACUCAAUCUUCAACCUGCUCUCUUACUACCUCAGAGAGAUAAGGCUUAGGGACUUAAAUCUGCUCCAUUGCUGAUACAUGGAGAUAAGAUUCGCCAUCUUUGAUCUACUCCACUACUGCUUAGGGAGAUAAGAUCUUCAAUCUUUAGUUUGUUUCCUUGCUAUCGCCAACCUACUCUCUUGCUACCUCAGAGAGAUAAGGCUAGUGUCUUAAAUCUGCUCCAUUGCCAAUACAUGGAGAUAUGAUUCGCCAUCUUCGAUCUGCUCCACUGCAACUUCAGGAAGAUAAGAUCUGACUUUACCAAUGUCGCUACACUGUCCUCUGAGGAAAAUAUCCUGUAGACUCGAUUUUAUAUGCGCAUGUUUAUGCCAAAUGAUUAGGAUGCUAUGAUUGAAAUGAAUCCAAUACUCCUAACUAAAUAUGGUAUGAAUGAUAUAUGCAUGCAUAAAUGAGAAUGAUUCAUUUUCUUCUUUUUGUUUAAACUUAAGGUAUUAUCACUCGUUGUUCAUUAGUAUGCUGUCACUGACAUAUUCGCCCAACCAUCAUCUUGACAAAGUAUCCCAAAGAAACAAUCAUAUUCUGCUCAGCAAGUUUUCCCUACUGUAAUUCCGACGUCCCUUCCACUAUUCUUUUUGAGACAAAAACAUUACAACUCAGUUGAAUUUUCAUUUGUUCAAUCUACUACCUCACUCCUAGGGUGUCAUAGCCAAAUGUGUGUGUUUGAUAUUUGCAUGGAUACAAAAUAUCAUUUCCCCUUUCUUGAGAAUAAUUCCUUUUUAUAUUGAUCAUUUUUCAAAAUUGCAUCACCAACGCCAUAUCUUGUCCUUUUGUUCAAUCAUCAUUUGGACAAAAAAUCCAAAAAGGCGAUUUAUUCAAAUAUGUCCUUGAACUUGGUGUGUUCUAAGCAAUAGUCUUGCUUCAGAUUCUUGUAUUACCUAGAAACUUCUAAAGUAAUACGAAAAACUUCUAUUGUGAAAACAUUACUAGUUCAUUCAUCAUUAUUUCAAUGUAACAUGCUUGAAAUCAAAUCAUAAUAAUUGAUAAGAGUGGAAUUGAUUUUGGACUCAAAGUGAAUAAAUCGUCAAAAGAACAAAAAAUGGCAAUUGAUUUGGGAAUGUAUAUCUCGAAAAAGAAAGACUAUUUCAAAGAUAGCCAAUUUAUUGGAAUAAAAUGAGGACUCGGUACCCUCGAUAUCGCAAACUGAGUUUCUCUGUACGAACUUCUUGAAGACCAAUUUAAACUUGACAUGUGUUUAGGAGAUCAUAAGUACUUUGUCAAUGCCCCAAGAUGCAACAUACCCUUUCCUUAUUAAUUCAGGUAUAGCAAGAUCAUUGCCUUUCCCAUUUUAAAUCAACAUUUGAGCCGCCGUUUUCGGGUUUUCAACUCAAAUCCCCUUUGGUCUCAAGCGUCCCUUGUGGGUUUUCACUUUGGCCUCUCCCUUUUUUUUUAAUUCCAUUUUUUAUUGAGUCUCAAAGCGCCCUUUGCGGGUUUUCACUUCGGCUCUUUCCAUUUUUUAUUGGGUCUCAAAGCGCCCUUUGUGGGUUUUCACUUUGUCCCUUUUUUUCUAAAAAAAAAUCUCAAAGCGCCCUUCGCGGGUUUUCACUUUGGUUUCUUCCCCUCAUUAGCUGUAAUACUUUUUGACUGAAUCUGAAUUCACUAGAUUAGAUAAUUUUUUUCCAUCCAUUUCAGCUAGGAUUAAUGCUUCUCCGGAGAAAGCUUUUUUCACCACAUAAGGCCCCUCCCAAUUUGGCAUCCAUUUUCCUCUAAAAUCCUUUUGCAUAGGAAGGAUCUUUUUCAGACUUAGAUCUCCCUCAUGAAACUCUCUUGGGCAAACUUUUUUGUCAUAAUCCCGCAUCAUUCUUUUUUGAUACAUCUGACCAUGCUGAAUAGCUCUUAGCCUCUUUUCCUCAAUCAAAUUCAACUGAUCAUAUCGAGACUGUAUCCAUUCUACUUCAUCUAACUUCAAGCCUAACAAAACUCAGAGAGAAGGUAUCUCCACCUCAAUGGGUAAAACUGCUUCCAUUCCAUAGACCAAUGAGAAAGCCGUUGCCCUAGUAGAAGUCCUGAAAAAUGUUCGAUAAGCAUAUAGAGCAAAUGCUAACUUUUCAUGCCAAUCUCUAUAAGUUUCAGUCAUUUUUCCCACAAUCCUCUUGAUAUUUUUAUUGGCUGCCUCCACUACCCAUUCAUUUUUGGGCGAUAUGGUGAUGAGUUGUGGUGUCUGAUCUUAAACUGACUGCAAACCUCUACUAUUAUGCUAUUGUUCAAAUUUAAUGCAUUAUCAGAUAUGAUCCUCUUAGGCAUCCCAUAUUGACAUAUGAUUUCCUUCUUUAAAAAUCUACUGAUCGUCGAUUUAGUUACAUUGGAAUAUGAGGCAGCCUCCACCCACUUAGUAAAAUAAUCGAUGACCACAAAGAUGAAAUUAUGCCCAUUUGAAGCCUUCGGUGAGAUUGGCCCUAUGACAUCCAUGCCCCACAUGGAAAACGGCCAUGGAGAAGUCAUAACAUGCAAAGGCGAAGGAGGUACAUGAAUCUUAUCACCAUAAAUUUGACAUUUGUGACAUCUCUUAGCAUAAUUGAUGCAGUCUCCUUCCAUAGUUAACCAAUAAUAUCCGAACCUCAUAAUUUGUCUGGCCAUUGUGAACCCACUAGCAUGUGUUCCGCAAAUUCCCUCGUGAACUUCUUCCAAAACUUUCUUGGCCUCCACAGCAUCCACACAUCUCAAUAGUACCUAAUCCUUUCUUCUUUUAUAUAGGAUCUCCCCAUAUAAGAUAUAAUCACAGGCUAGCCUUCUCAAUGUCCUUUUGUCAUUCUCUUUUGCUUGAUCUGGAUAUUCACGAUUUCUCACGUAUCGUAGUAUAUCCUGAUACAAAGGAUGAUUAUCUCUCUUUUCUUCCUCUAUAUUAUAACAAUAAGAUGGGGUCUCACAGAUGCUCAUCUGAAUUGGUUUCACAUCUUCUUAUCUGCUCACUUUAAUCAUGGAAGCCAAAGUAGCCAAAGCAUCUGCCAUCUGGUUUUCAUCACGCGGGAGAUAAUUGAAGGAAAUAUCAUCAAACUCUUCAACUAACCUCAACACCAACCUUUUAUAAUUGAUUAAUUUGGAAUCUCUUGUUUCCCAUUCACCUCGAAGUUGGUAAAUUACUAGCGCAGAAUCUCCAUAUACUUCCAGUGACUUGAUCUUUCGUUCUAUAGUUGCUCGGAGACCCAUGAUACAUGCCUCAUACUCUGCUAUAUUAUUUGUGCAAUCAAAAUCCAAUUUACAUGUGAAUGGAUAAUGAUCUCCACUUGGGGACACCAAGACUGCUCCAAUUCCAUUACCCACAGCGUUUGAGGCUCCAUCAAAAUUCAAUUUCCAAGAGUAAUCUUUUGUAGUGUCCUCUUCAAUAGUUGCCACAUACGCUAUCUCCUCAUUGGGGAAAUCAAAAUUCAAGGGCUCAUAAUCUUCUAAAGCUCGACUGGCCAAAAAAUUUGCUAUUGUGCUCCCUUUCACGGGUUUUUGACUCACAUAGAUUAUGUCAAAUUCAGAAAGCAAAAUUUGUCACCUAGCCAUCCUUCUAUUUAAGGCAUUUGACUCCAUCAUAUACUUUAGACGAUCCAACUUUGAGAUUAACCAAGUCGUAUGGUACAACAUGUAUUGCCUCAACCUCCGAGCUGUCCAAAUCAGAGCACAACACAAUUUUUCAAUUGGAAAAUAUCUUAAUUCACACUCAGUGAAUUUCUUACUGAGGUAAUAUAUCGCCCUUUCUUUUCUUCCUGAUUCAACAUGUUGACCAAGCACACAUCCCAUAGAAUUAUCAAACACUGCUAAAUACAGUAUUAACGGCCUGUCUGAGCUUGAAGGUGACAACACUAGAGGACUCGAUAAGUAUUUUUUAACUUUAUCAAAAUAUCUUUGGCAUUCAUCAUCCCAUUCUCCUGGGUUAUGUUUUUUAAGAAGAUGAAAUAUAGGGUCACAUUUCUCUGUCAAUUGAGAAAUAAACCGAGCAAUGUAAUUUAGUCUUCCCAGGAAGCCUCGAACUUCUUUUUGAAUGCGUGGUCCAGAACACUCUUGUAUAGUCCGGACUUUGUCUGAAUCAAUCUCAAUUCCUCUUUCACUGACUACAAAGCCCAAUAGCUUUCCAGAUCUAGCCCCAAAGGUACACUUGGUUGGAUUAAGCUUUAACUGAAAUUUUCUCAAUCUCAUGAACAACUUUCUCAACACUUGGAUGUGUUCCUUUUCAGUUCAAGAUUUGGCGAUCAUGUCGUCAACAUAAACUUCAAUCUCCUUGUGCAUCAUAUCAUGAAAUAAGGUCACCAUGCCCCUUUGUUAUGUCGCUCCAGCAUUCUUUAGUCCAAACGGCAUCACCUUGUAACAGAACGUGCCCCACAAGGUUAUGAAGGUAGUCUUUCCCAUGCCCUCAGGAUGCAUCUUUAUCUGAUUGUAUCUCGAAAAGCCAUCCAUGAAAGAGAACAACGAGUAGCAAGCUGUAUUGUCCACUAGAGUAUCAAUGUGGGGCAAGGGGAAAUUGUCCUUUGGACUAGCCUUAUUUAGAUCUCUAUAAUCUACACACAUUCGCACCUUUCUGUAUUUCUUAGAAACAGGCACAACGUUAGCUACCCAUUCUGAGUAUUUAAUCACCUGAAGGAAUCUAGCAUCAAAUUGCUUUUUAACUUCCUCCUUUAUUUUUAAGACAAUAUCUGCCUCAUUCUUCGAAGCUUCUGCUGAACUGGCUUGCAAUUUUCUUUUAUGGGAAGGCGAUGUACUACAAUAUCAGUGCUUAAACUGGGCAUAUCCUGGUAUGACCAUGCAAAAACAUCUUUGAAUUCCCGAAGCAACCCAACAAGGUCUCGCUUUGUUUCUUCAGUUAUGCCUGUUCCAAUUUUUACAACUUUCCCCUCUUCCAAAGUCACCAUGUCCACUGCUUCUUUAUAAGGUGAAAUUUGUUUUUCCUCUUAUUCUACUAUCCUUAACAAGUCUGGAGAUAAAUCACAGUCUCUGUCAUCUUCAAAGUCCUGAGAUCCCUCUAAACACAUGUCUUGCUCAAAUAGUGAUUCUGAGUCAGUAACAGCGUCACUAUGAUAUUGAUAUCUAGGGACCUAUUAUAGGUACAAAAAAUAUACAAAGAAUGAAUGAAUUUGAUAAUUAUUGUCUAUAUGGUAUGUUUAUGAAUGAAAUAAAAGAAUGAUUGAAGAAAGUCCAAAAAAGAAUCAGGAUAAUUAUUUAAAUGGAAAGAAUAACACAAUUGCUUGUGGAAAGAGUAAAAGAAUGUUUGCUCAAAAUGACAGCAAAAAUGUACUUCAUUGAAAUAAUGAUGUUUCAACAUAAGCCUAUUUCACAAAGAAAUCCUUAUUGCCUCUAGGCUUAAAGAAACAAGUUUGUUUUGAACAUUACUCUGAGUAACCUCUAAAAACUACAGGAAGGUCUUCUGCAGUCCAAUUGUCUAGAACACUGCCAAGCUCAUAUGGACGAAUAUCUAACGAAAUCCCCUCUUCAAUUGCUUCUUCAAAUAUAGCAUUAAUGUGCACAUUUCCUAAUACCCCUUCUAUGUUUUCUUUCUCUGGCAUCCCUCGUUCAAGAUAAAUAAUUCCUCCUGAUACAAAAGUCCUAGAAAUGUGAGGUAUUAUCAUAGGCUCCCAUUUAAUUUCUCCACCACUUACACGUGUUCUCUUCUUUCCUGCUUUCUUUCCAAUUCCCUUUUUCUUUGCCUUGCAUCUAGCUUAAACCCCAAACUAAAGCGAUCAUGUUUGUCUUUCAACAUCAGAACCUCAAUUCUUACCUGGAGACAUCUCCCAAGUCCCUUUCCUGGUAAAGCUCCACGUCCUACCAUCAACUGUAGACCCAUCAUCGUAGUUUUAGACAUUUUCGGCUCCAGAAUUCUACUUCCCUCAGUGAUGAAUGUUGCAUUUACAAACUCCAAAGAUCGAAAAGAACAUUCAAUAGCUUUAUCAUCUAUCUCUAAAUAUGGUGUGUCACUGCUUAUAGCUGCGAUAAUAUCCUCUUCAGCAUUUAUCGUUACCAACCGUCCUUCUGAUACUAGCUUUAGCUUCUGGUGUAAUGAAGAGGGCACUACCCCUACUGAAUGUAUCUAAGGUCUCCCUAACAAGCAGUUGUAAAAGGGCUUAAUAUCCCUCACUAAGAAGUCUACCUCAUAUGUAGUUGGGCCAAUCAACAAAGGUAUUUCUAUUCUCUCCAUGACUCUCAUUUCUGUGCCAUCAAAUGCUCGCACUAUAUUCUGACAUCCCUUCAUGUGUGAACUAUCCAUAGGUAACCUGUUUAACGUGGACAAGGGCAAUACAUUCAAUGCUGACCCAUUGUCUACCAGAACUCCUAGCAAUGUGUAUCCUUUACAUCUGGUGGUUAUAUGCAAAGCUUUAGUAAAUCCCAUACCUCCUGGUGGAAUCUCAUCAUCAUUGAAGAAUAUGAAGUUGUCAGCACUGAUAUUAUUAACCAACUGGUCCAACUUGUUGAUGGAAUAUCAUUAGUCACAUACGUCUCAUUUAGUACUUUCAUCAAUGCACUUCGGUGUACCUCUGAACUUAGAAGCAAAGCUAAUAUAGAUAUGCGGGAUGGCUAUUUAUGCAACUAUUCCACCACACUGUACUCACUAUGUUUUAAAAAGUUCAGGAAAUCCUUAGCUUCCUUUUCUUUCACUGGUUCAUUAACAGGCACCCCAGGUUCGACCUCUUUUCCACCCUUUUGUUCGACCAUUAAAUCUUUUCCUUUUACAGGCUCUGUUCGGGCAUUUUUCAAAUCAUAUCGCCUUCCACUACGCGUGUGAGAACCUAUAUUUUGAUCUUUCUUUAACGAGCUGACUAAAUUCUCCUUUCCUGGGACUGUCACAUUACAAUCAUAAUUCCAAGGGACCCUUUUGUUAUCCUUAUAAGAGAAAACUACUGGUUACUAAAUUUAUGAUCUUCGGUUCAUCUGAAUUCCUGCUUCAUUCUUAGGACAUGAAAUAAUAACCACAGGACGAUUGACUUUUGGGACAUUCAUCGUGGAUUCCGAUGCGCAUAUAUACCCUUCCUCUUCAACCUCUUCAUAAAAUUCUAUAUCUUUACUAUCUAUAAAUCCCUGGAUAAUAGCUUUGAACUCUUCACAUUCUUGAAUUUCGUGUCCCUCUUCAUGGUGGAACUCACAAUAAUUCUCUAUCUCAUCACCACUUUCUUCUGAAUUCAACAGAACUAACCUGUUCUUUACCAUCUCCUUCUAGACCCACUUCAAGGAAGUUUUUACUUCCAUAAUAUCCGCCUUAGUUCUUUUUCCUUUACCUCCAUCUAUCACGUGUACCCCACUAUCAGUAUGAUUAGGUAAUGGAUUUUCUGCACUGGCGCAUUAUCAAACUUCACUAUGCCCAUUUGAAUAAAUCUUUCAACCAGCUUCUUAAAAGUAGUGCAGUUUUCUAUUGAAUUUCCUACGAUCCCUGCAUGAUACUCACAUUGAGCAUUGGCAUCAUACCAGUUAGGGAAUGGAAGCUGUAAUGGCUUUAGAUAAAAAGGUGCCACCAUAUGUGCAUCAAACAAACUUUGAUAUAAUUCUUUAUACGUCAUGGGAAUUGGCGUAAAUUAAAGUUUCUCGCUGUUUUGUUUUGCUUCAGAUUCCUGCCUUGAUGAGCCCUGACCAGCAGUUAUUGCCUUUGGUUGACUUACAGUAACAGACUUUGAAUACCCCAUGUUUGCAUUGUUCACCUCAUUUUCCUUUUUCCACGGGACAGACCUUCUGGUAUUUUCUCCUGCAUCUAUCCUUCCAUUUCUUAUUGCAUUCUUGAUUAUUUCUCCAGUCAUUACCACAUCUGCAAAACUCUUUAUAGCACUUCCUAAUAUGUGAGUUAUGAACGGAACUUUUAAAGUAUUAAUAAAUAGCAUCGUGGUUUCUUUCUCUAAGAGUGGCGGCUGAACCUGGAUGGCCACUCCCUCCACCUCUGUGCAUAUUGCUUGAAACUUUUGUUUGGUUUUUUCUCCAUAUUCUGCAGAGUAAUUCUAUCAGAAGUCAUAUCUGGUACAUGGCUGUAUUGUUUCAUGAAUGCUUGUGCCAGAUCUCUCCAUGAACUAAUUCUAUUUCAACUCAACUGAUUGUACCAUUUAGCUGCUAUUCCCGCCAAACUGUCUUGGAAGCAAUGAAUCAACAAUUGAUCGUUAUUAACAUACCCAGUCAUUCUUCUACAAAACAUGGUAAUAUGAGCUUCAAGACAGCUCGUUCCAUUGUACUUCUCAAAUUCUGGCAUAUUGAACUUGUAUGGAAGCACUAAGUUUGGGACCAAACUCAAAUCUUUUACAUCAAUUCCAAGAUGUCUAUCAACACCUCCCAUUGCCCUGACCUUUUCCUCCAGCCAUUUACACUGCCCCUCCAAUUGUUUCUGUGAUUCUGUCCUCGCCCUUUCCUCUUUCGCAACUUCACCAAAUCAGGUACCAUUGGAUUAUUCGAGUUAUUACUAGGAUUAAAACCUGAACUAGUUUGGAAAUUCAAUUGUAUUGAAACUCCAGCCUGAAACUGUUGAGGCCUGACUGUAACAGAUGGUUUCUACAGAUUAAUCUUAGGUUUUGUUUGUACAUGUUGGAGUGAAACCAGGAGGAUAUUGAGGGUCUUCAUUACUUUCCCCAACAUUAUCCACAGGACCUUUUCCCUUAUCCAUCCUUCCUACCAGUAAUUGGGACAGUUGAUUUAUCAUAUCUCUUUGGGACUCCAUCAUUUGAUCCUUCAUCUCUUGCUGAAUCUUAGCUAGCUGCUCUUGCAUCUGUAACUGUAUUUGUUCUUGCAUAUCCAUUUGCAUUUGCUCUAACUUUUCAAGUCUUUUGUCCAUUGACUUGGUAUUUUUCCUUGUACCGUAGGGAUACGUAUUUGGUGUGUUUUUUGUUGGUUUCCAGAUUACUGAAAUAAUCUUUAAUUAAUUAGAAUCUUUUUAUGGCCUUUAAUGCAUAUGAUGUAAUGUAAUGCAAAUGCAUGAAUGCAAAGCAGGCAUCAAUUCUGAUUCAAUUCCAUUUAGAAAACUUUACUAGAAAAUAAAAUUCUUUACAUAAAACCGAGUUACAAAUAAGACUUCGCCCUAAUACUCAAAGCUUUUAUUUUCCUAAGAAGUGAAGGUAGCUCCUAUCCCCUAACUGACUCCAACUCAUACUUCACACUUAAUAUGUCUGCUUGUACCGCCAAAGUUUGCAAGUAAUCAGCUACUUCCCAAAUUUGUGUUACGGCCUCUCCCAUAAUGUAAUCCAUGCUUCUAAUUUAAUUUUGAGAGUGAUGAAGUUGUCCCUUCCAUUGUUCUUCAUUUGCCUCCAAGAAUCCGAUCCUCAUUUCACAACUUUGCAAUGUCGCCUCUAAUUCUUCUAUUUUCCCUUUCAUCUCUUCUAUCUUCCUUAAGCUUGCUCUCAACUCCAUCAUAGAAUUGCGAUUCCGGUAUAGACAAAGAGAUCUCUCUAGUUCCGCUACUCUAGCCCUUAAUUCAACUUGUUCAUUUUUACUCUCUAAUAGACUUUUCUCCAAUGUCUCAUUUCAAGCUUGAACCUCUUAGAGUUUCUUUUCCCAUUGAUCAGCCUUAGUCUUUUCUUCUCGAAUUUCCUGACGCCACUACUCUGAAGUUUUCCCUAACCCAGCAGUCCUCAUUGAUAGGCAUAACUUCUUAUAAUCUAUCUUCAAACCUUCCAUAUCCUCCUCAACUUCAUUCUUCCUUUUCUGUAACUUUUCUGCCUCUGAGUUCUGAACCUCCACAUUUAAUCUCAGGUGUAUCUUUUCUUCCUCCAACUGCUUAAUCCUCUUCUGAAGCUCAGAACUCUUCUUCUCAAAGUCCUGUUUUAUAAUUUUCAACUCUGACAGGGCAACUUGUAAUUGUUCCUCCUUUGGUCGAGUACCUUCUAAACUUGGCCUGGGAAUAUUAUCAUUGACCCUUUUCCUAAACCAUCCAUUGUACUUAGGUGUUGUCAUGGAACCUACAGCCACCCUCUUCAUCCAACGAGUUUGCUUCCAAGCAUCAAACAGUUCCCAAACCUUCUUCUUAUAGUGGUCACCUUUAUAUGAAUUCACACUUAGCAAGUCCGUAAGUCAUGGGUAUAAACUGCCUUGAUUUAUACUACCUUAGUUCAAGCAACGGCGCAUAUCCAGUGGCUCCCUAAAUUCCUGACAAUGGUACCCAAUCAAAGUUCCCACAUCGAUACAGGAUCUCAUCAAGAACCAUCCAAAAAGCUCUCCACUCUAUAUCCUCCUAUUUGAGGUUUUAAAGAAUUUUCACCCAUUUCCCCUCUGAAACAUCAUCUUUCCUUUGCAAAGUUGUCUCCUCCUUUAAUGGGGAGUAACUUUUAGAGAAGACCCAAUAAGAAACCUUGUUCACUUUCCAAAAAUGCCCAUGAAACCACACCAUCAACAGCUGUGCACAUCCAAUAAAUCUACCUUCACCUGCCCUCAGACACAUGCUCAAGGAUCUGAACGUCUCAGCUAGUAUUACAGGUACAAGUGUGAUUCCCUUCUCAAGACGAUCGAAUAAAUCAGUGACUGCUUCAUCUACGUGCCUUAAAGCCUUAGGAAAAAUCACCAAACCAUAGAUGCUUAAGGCGAAGAUAUCGACCCUCUUCCUUUCAUCCGGAUGUGUUAAAAUCAAAUCUCUCAAAUUCUCCCAAGGAAUACGUUUACUAUCCCCCUUUUGUUAAAUUCGAGCAGUGACCCAUGGCUCGCUCAUCCCUGAAAUAUUCAUCAAUUUCUUUGCAAAAGUUGGGCCAUUAAAAACCUUAUCAUAAGCUUUUCUGACUUGAAUUUUUGGACAUCUCAGCAAGGUAGUAUAUUCCUCCACGGUGGGCACCAAGUCUACUUCUCCAAAAGUGAAACAAUUGUAGGCAGAAUUCCAAAAUUAAGCCAUAACUCGGAACAAAUGCUUGUCCACCUUAAUAUCGAGCAAGUAGGGUGUAUCACCAUAGCUUUGAUAGAACAACUGUUUAGUUCCCUCAUCCCAACGAGCCCAUAUAUCUCUCAAUUCUUGCAACUCAUUCUGUGUCACAUUGAUGCGGGUGAAGUUCUGCAACCCCGAUGCAUAUCCUUAUGCCAGGCUAUCCCCUUUCUCUGAUUGUAACUUCUCUGACCAUACACGGACGGCCGCAUUAUCUUAACUUUAUCAAGAAAUUUAUUCUCCAUGUUAAAUCUUCUAACUUAGUAAUCGAACACGAAUCGACACCUCCUUUAAUAUGCAAUGUUAUGCAAAACACAAUCAAAACAAAACACAAUAGGUCAGUAUCAAAUAUAAGUGAUAAAAUACAAGCAAAAAAAAGAUAACCAAAACACAUAUAUGGGCAACUACUAAGGCUUAACAUAGCUCUACCUAAGGAUGGCUCUUAGGGUUCACUAUAUGUGGUUCAGUUCUAAAGAAAAGAUACCCAAACUAGCAGAUUCCUCAAUCCUCACCCAUUAUAGGCUCAUAUGGAUCGAUUUCGGUUCAGGGGAAUACAUUUCCCUAUGACCAUGCGGAGAUGAAAAUCUCAGGAAAUCAUAGGUAUGGAUGUAUCCCGAAAGUAAUCCACUAGCCCAUACGAAGGUAAAAACCUCACGAAAGCGUAGUUUCUUACUCCUAAUUAAAGGUAUAACCACAACAGCCAUGCAGUGCAAUGCAAUAUUAUUCUACAAGACUUGGACCACAACAAUCAUGCAAACAAAUGCAAAAAAGAAUCAUGAAUUUCAAAUUAAAUUUCCAAUUUAGAUAAAAGGACAGCAAAUAAUCAAUUUUAUGGCUUGACUCUCUUGUUCAAUCCCCAGUGGAGUCGCCAAGCUGUCGAAACCAUUUUUUUAUUUUGGAAAAAAAUGGGGAUCGACUUUUAAAACAAAGUGUGGAGUCACCACCAAUAUUUUUUUUUAGGUGUGAUUGGAUCACCUAAUAAAACAUUUUAUUCCAUUUAAAUCAAUUUUGGUCUACGUAAAUUUUAAAAUGGGUUCGGGAGCCGGUUACAUAUGAGGAAGGGUUAGCACCCUCACUACGCCCAAAAAUUGGCACCAGAUUGAUUAAGUGCUGUCCUUAUGUCUAAGAUUGGUUCUUUUUAAAAUAUUUGAGUGGUUCAAGUUGGUCGUCAAAAUUCUCUCGUUUCAAAGGUAUACAGCAUCACAUCUAGCACGAUAGGAGACGAUUCUUUAUAACUUUGAAAACACGAUUGAUUUUUGACUUCCAAAAGCUCAUAUGUUAAAAAUUACACAAGGAUGCCCAAUUAUUUAGUCCGACAAAGAACCGAAACCUAGCACAGUAGGGCACAAUUCCUCAAAUUUCUAAACAUUGAGCUUUGCCUUAUUUUUAAAAAAAAUUAAAUAAACCAUUGUAAACUAACUCAAAACGUAUUAAUUUUAUUUGAAAUAAAAUGGAAUAAUUGAUUUUAAAGAGUUGAAAAUUAUAAAGCAACAUUUGUAAACCAAAAGAAAAAUAAUAAUCAUGGGAUAAUAAGCAUGCAUAAAAUACAAUACUUGGUGAAUGAAGAUAACAUAACCUUAUUUAACCAACUAGCAAAACAAACAAUUAAAUAUAAUUAAUCCAAAAUAUAACCAAAUUCACAAGCAUGGGUGAACAACAAUUGAUUUAAUAAUACAUAAAAAUGAAUAAAUGUGGUGUAACAAAUAUACAUGAAAUAAUAUAAAAACAAUUAACACAUGAGGUACCAAACAACAUAAAACUAAUACGAUACAAUAACAAUUUCUAAAAAUGAUGGAUUGAUGAGCAAAUAACAUAUGCUAGAACUUGAAAUAAUUUAUAAGAAAAAAUAAAGAAUAUAUAUAUAUAAUUUUUUUUUAAAUUGAUGUUGCAAAAAGAAACAUUUAAAUCAAAUAAUAUGCCAAAUGUUAAAAAAAUAUAUUUAUAAAAAAUUGACAAUAUACACUCAAUGAAUGAGACUUUAAAUAAUACAUAAAAUAUGAAAGGAUAGUAAAAAUACAUAAUAAAAUAUAAUCGUAGGAAAUAAAUUAUGCACACAAUAGAUUUAAAAAACAUAGACAUCUAUAAAUAAAUUUAGAAGCAAUUACAUGUAAAAGUAACAUGGAAUAAAAUAUGAGUCUAGGAUUAAAUAUAUGUACUAAUCUACAUAAAAACAUUUAAAUGAAAUACUAUAUAAAAAGUUAAAAUAAUAUGAUAUAAAAAGAAUUUCAAAAUGGUGAUUUUAUAAAAACAAAGUAGAGUUAUUAAAGUAUCUCAACACCUAUAAAAAUAUUAUGAACUUUAAAAUAAUAAGUAUUUCAAAUGGAAAACUCAAUUAAAAUAAUAUAUAUGUAAAAAUAUAUAUAAAAAUAUUUAACUGGAAUAUUAUACAAAAUGUUAAAAUAAUAUAACAUGAAGAUUUUAAAAUAAUGAUUUUCUUUAACAAAGUAAAAUUAUUAAAGUAAUCUCAACACAUAAAAAAUAUUAAAUGAAUUCUCUUAAAAAUAACGCAUUGUAUAGAUAGAAAACUUAAUUAAAAUAAAUUUAAAAUAAAAGGGAUAAUCUAUAAAUAAAAUAAACUAAUGGAAUUAAAAUAAGGACCAACGUGCAACAUGUGCGAAUGUACAGGGACCAAAGCUGAAAAUAUUCCAGAUCUCAAAACGCUGCGUUGAAGCGUGGACCUAAUUGACAUCAUGCGCAAAUUAUAUGUAUAAAUUCUAAAAAACAAAGUAAAGAAAAUAAGGUACAAUUGAACAACAACGCGAAAGGGAGGACUAAACGCACAAUUAACCCUCAAGGACCAAGUGCGCGGAUCUCAACUUUGCACGGGUCGGGUCAUCAGGUUUGAAGUUUCCAGACGGUGCCGUUUCAAAGCCAUUGAGAUUGGCUCAAAACGAUGUCGCUUCCUAUGCUCCAUAAAAAAAAGAGGAAACCCUAAAAUGAACCCCUAAUAAUUUUAAACAAAAUCAAAACAAAAACUUAAGUUUCCUAUUCCUCUCAUACGGCCGAAUCAGAUGGUUCUUUUCCCCACCGCCGUUUUGCUUCCAUAUUUCAGUGAAUUGCACCAUCUGAAAGCAUGGUUUGCCUUAUUCGAAGACGUACUCAAGGGUUUUGCUGCCCUUAAGCCACGGAAUCCUCACUUAUACUUCGAUUAUUGCGAAGCCAGCAAGGAUUCAAAAGUCAAUACCAAGGUAAGUCCUUUUUAUUUUUCCGUAUACCGUAAAUAAAGACCAAGAAGAACAAAGAAUUAAAAUCGGAAAAAAAUGCUAGAUCUAAGAAUCACCUUUCUAAAAUUGAUUUCUAAAUGCCUUUUCUUUGUAUUCAAUAUUUUGUAUGCCUAUUUCAGUGUGCAUAAUCCAUCAAAGUACAAACCAUGGCUUUUUAAAACCGAAUUUACAGAAUAAAUAAAAAAUGAAAAUUUUAUUUUCCUACUGUCAUUUUCUGUAUAUUCUGUUAGCAUUUCUGUUCUCACAGGUUCUAUGUUGACUUGGAGGCAUACAGAGAAGCAAGCUACUCGUGGGGAGGCCGUUCGUGAGAGGCUCGAUUCCAUGGCUAGCUGCUGCACUGUGUAUUCCAGAAACCUCUAGGGUUUCUGGUGUUUUCUCAUUAUUGGGCUCAUUUGGGCCACAUGUAAAUUGGGCUAGGAUUUUAGGUUUUGGACUAGUGUUUUAUUUCUGUUUCAGGCUAUGUUUAGUUAUUGGACUUUGGGUUAGUGUUUUGGGCCUUUAUUUUUGUAAAAAUACUUGGACUUUUAAUUUAUUUGGCUCAUGGCUUUAUUUAUUAUUAUUAUUAUUUUAUUUUUGGUUCUGGUAUAGUUUUUUUAUGGGCCCAGGCAAAAUGGGCCUAUUACAAUCACAUUGCAUAUUUAUAUACUUUAAUGGAAAUAUAUGUAUGUGUAACCCCC
rnacentral:lncRNA from 1 species